AUUGAACGCUGGCGGCAUGCUUUACACAUGCAAGUCGAACGGUAACAGGGUGCUUGUACCGCUGACGAGUGGCGAACGGGUGAGUAAUGCGUCGGAACGUGCCGAGUAGUGGGGGAUAACGCAGCGAAAGUUGUGCUAAUACCGCAUACGUACUGAGGUAGAAAGUGGGGGACCUUCGGGCCUCACGCUAUUCGAGCGGCCGACGUCUGAUUAGCUAGUAGGUGAGGUAAAGGCUCACCUAGGCGACGAUCAGUAGCGGGUCUGAGAGGAUGAUCCGCCACACUGGGACUGAGACACGGCCCAGGCUCCUACGGGAGGCAGCAGUGGGGAAUUUUGGACAAUGGGCGAAAGCCUGAUCCGGCCAUGCCGCGUGUCUGAAGAAGGCCUUCGGGCUGUAAAGGACUUUUGUCAGGGAGGAAAUCCCUAGUGCUAAUAACACUGGGGGAUGACAGUACCUGAAGAAUAAGCACCGGCUAACUACGUGCCAGCCGCCGCAGUAA
rnacentral:rRNA from 1 species